UUCUGGUGACUCUUGCGACUGGGUUACACCUCUUCCCAUCCCGAACAGAGCAGUUAAGACAGUCCGCGCCGAUGGUACCUCCAUGAGGGAGAGUAGGUCGUCGCCAGAAUC
rnacentral:rRNA from 2 species